rnacentral:rRNA from 1 species
GGGUAGUUUGACUGGGGCGGUCUCCUCCCAAAGAGUAACGGAGGAGCACGAAGGUUAGCUAAUCACGGUCGGACAUCGUGAGGUUAGUGCAAAGGCAUAAGCUAGCUUGACUGCGAGAGUGACGGCUCGAGCAGGUACGAAAGUAGGUCUUAGUGAUCCGGUGGUUCUGAAUGGAAGGGCCAUCGCUCAACGGAUAAAAGGUACUCCGGGGAUAACAGGCUGAUACCGCCCAAGAGUUCAUAUCGACGGCGGUGUUUGGCACCUCGAUGUCGGCUCAUCACAUCCUGGGGCUGAAGUAGGUCCCAAGGGUAUGGCUGUUCGCCAUUUAAAGUGGUACGCGAGCUGGGUUUAGAACGUCGUGAGACAGUUCGGUCCCUAUCUGCCGUGGGCGUUGGAAGAUUGAGAGGGGCUGCUCCUAGUACGAGAGGACCGGAGUGGACGAAUCACUGGUGUUCGGGUUGUCAUGCCAAUGGCAUUGCCCGGUAGCUAAAUUCGGAAGAGAUAACCGCUGAAAGCAUCUAAGCGGGAAACUUGCCUCGAGAUGA